UACGGGGGGGGCAAGCGUUGUUCGGAAUUACUGGGCGUAAAGGGCUCGUAGGCGGCCAACUAAGUCGGACGUGAAAUCCCCAGGCUCAACCUGGGAACUGCGUCCGAUACUGGAUGGCUUGAAUCCGGGAGAGGGAUGCAGAAUUCCAGGUGUAGCGGUGAAAUGCGUAGAUAUCUGGAGGAACACCGGUGGCGAAGGCGGGUCUCUGGGCCGAUACUGACGCUGAGGAGCGAAAGCGUGGGGAGCAAACAGG
rnacentral:rRNA from 1 species